GAGGGUUUUAGAUCGUUGCUGCUAACAAUGAUGCGGGGUUUGGGAAGGCCCAACCCUCU
rnacentral:tRNA from 1 species